AACACUGGAAACUAGUGUCUAUCAUGGCAGCGUUACUGGGAUUCAAUUCUAAAGAGGUCUAUGAACUGAACUACCCGUUUUGGUGCCAAAAAACUAGAAAAAAUGGAAUAUUGGACUCAUAUUGACUAUCAGUUCACGUUGGUUCUUGUUUGACGGUGUUUGGGUGGAAGAAAGACAUCAGAGAGGCCGAUAAAUCCUGAGGUGGAGACCGCGUAUGAUGUCUUCGAUAUCUUAAUCAACUCCCAGAGUCAAUAGAUUGUCAGUGAAGAUCUGCUGUGAACACACCUUGUAUGUUACCUAUUGACAAACAGUAGUCCAAAUUUUUUUUGCUUUGGUUUGCGGUGUAUGGACAACCUAUUUUGGGCUCCUGCGAGUUAUCCUUGGCUCAUUUACUGUUUGUGGCUUAUUAAAAAGCCUUGGUGUGGACAAGCCUCUGUGUGUGGCCAAUUAACAAGUCUUAAUUAACAUCUGUGGACAAGUCUUCAGGGAAAGUAGAGAAUCCACAAUUUAGAUCUUGGACAAGUGGGGUCAGUGUAUGAAGCUGGAUAACAAGUGGCAAACCGGAUGGUUAAAAGCCAGGGACAAACUGAAGAGUCUUGCUCUAGGAUGCUGAAACUCGGCCCAUCAAAAAGAAAGAGAAGAGUGUGAAAACUGUUUUGUAAACUGGACUGUCUUGCUGUGCUGAUUGGAUCUUGAACUGUGUACAAGAGAUGGAGUUGGCUUCACCCAUAAAAUCUAUUACUCAGUCUUGAUCUGGGAUCCUAAAACCUGGUGCACCAAAACAAAAAGAGCAGAGUGUGAAAACCGUUUAGGAAACUGGACUGUCUUGCUGCGCUGAUCGGAUCUUGAACUGUGUACAAGAGAUGGUCGACUAAUAGCUAACCAACAAUGGAGUUGGCUUCACUCAUAAAGUCUCCUUCUCAGUCUUGGUCUGGAUGCUAAGACCUGUUCCACCAAAAAACGAAGAGGAGAGUGUGAAAACUGUGUUGGAAUCUGGACUGUCUUGCUGCACUGAUUGGAUCUUGAACUGUGUACAAGAGAUUUCCAAGUGUUUGUCUGGAGCCGUUGGACCAGAAGAGUUAGCGUUCUCUAAAGAGGGUGAACGAUGUGGAGAAAAGUAGAUAUCAAGAGGUCAGAUCAUCUCCAGCAAGACACCAUGCAAAAAUAUCAACCUUGGUAAGAAAGCAGAGUUUGUUGGUCGAGAGAGAGAGAGUGCAGGAUACUUAAAGAAUUCUAGUAUCUCUGUCCCCUUCACGAAUGAAGCUGAAAGAAAGCUUUAAUCUUAAAAGGAAGUGUCGAUAGAAGUCCUCUGCCCUGUUUUAUAAACAUCUACAAAUUUACAAUACAAUCUUUUAAUACACAUGUGCUUUACAAUAGUAAUAUAACAUCUUUUUCUUACAAUACAUCAAUUUUAGAAAGUCUUUUCCGCCCGUCCGACCUCCCCCACCAAACCCACCCUUCAGACAACUUUCUUAAGAAUUUCAUAAAGUUGUCUACCUUGUGGUACUAACAUUUAUAACAUUUGAAAGUCUUUCUGUCUUACUUUAUCGUAACAAGCAUCGGUCUAAAAACACGCAUGUGUUUUAGAAGAUUUAGUUUACUACAAGGAUGAACUGGUUUGAAAUUUCAAAGAAAACUGUCUGUAGGAAGUGGGUGUGGUGGGGGACGGUGGACGAAAAAAUAGUGUCUUUAUUGCCUAUCAAUAAAUAUCCAACUAUCUAUUCUUCUGCACAGUACAACAAUGAACAAA